ensembl:lncRNA
CAGACGGAGCUGCGCGAGGCCGACGCUGUGUUCUGGGCGGCCCCCCGGCGCUAUGGGGCGCCCCACAGCCGCCUGCUGCGCGCCGCCCCGCUGCCCCGCCUGGUGCGGCACCUGCUGGAGAGCCGCGCGCUGGGCGACGGCGCCUUCGUCCCCGCCUUCCUCGGCACCUUCCGGGCCUUCGCGCGGCCCCACGACGUCCUGCGCCUCCUGCUGCAGCGGAUGGAGGAACUGGGGGGGCUCUCGGGGGACCCCGACACCCCAGCGGCGGCUGAGGCCAAGCGGGCGCUGGCGGAGCUGCUGCCCCGCUGGCUGCAGGAUUACCCCGAGGAUUUUGGGGACGCGGCGGCGGCGGCGCUGGCGGAGCGUUUGGGGUCGGCUUUGGGGCCGGAUUCGGACGUGGGGCUGCGGCUGCGGGAGCUGCGGGAUCCCCCCGAGCCCCCCGAGCCCCCCGGGGACCCUUAUGGGGUCGGGGACGGGGACGGGGACGCCGACCCGCUGGAGAUCCUGUCCUUCCAGGCGCAGGAGGUGGCCGAGCAGCUCACGCUGACCGAGGCGGUGAGACCCCACAGCCGCCCCACAUCCCAAAUCCACGGGGCCCCGUAGCCCAGUGUCCCCAUGUCCCCAUAUCUCCAUGUUCCCGUAUCCCAGUGUCCCCAUGUCCCCAUAUCUCCAUGUCCCCAUAUCCCAGUGUCCCCACGUCCCCAUAUCUCCAUGUUCCCGUAUCCCAAUGUCUCAUUGUCCCCAUAACUCCAUUGUCCCCAUGUCCCCAUGUUCCCAUAUUCUAUUGUUUUCAUGUGCCAUUGUUCCCAUGUCCCAAUGUUCCCAUAUCCCAAUAAUCUUCCAUUGUCCCCACAUCCCAAUGUCCCCAUAUCCCCAUGUCCCCAUUGUCCCCGUAUCCCAAUGUCCCCAUAACCCCAUAUCUCCACCAUCCCAAUAUCCCCAAACCCCCAUAUCCCCCCAUCCCAAUGCCCCCAUAACCCCAUNNNNNNNNNNNNNNNNNNNNNNNNNNNNNNNNNNNNNNNNNNNNNNNNNNNNNNNNNNNNNNNNNNNNNNNNNNNNNNNNAGUGUUUGGGGUCCCUGUGGUCGCAGCGGGACAAAAAGGGGCGGCGCUGCGGCUGUCCGUCUGUCCGCGCCACCGUCCGCCACUUCAACCGCGUGGCCGCCGCCGUCGUCACCUCCUGCCUGGGGGGCGCCGGGCUGCGACCCCCCCAGAGGGCGCGGCUGCUGGAGAAGUGGAUCAGGGUGGCACAGGAGUGCCGCGCUCUGCGCAAUUUCUCGUCGCUGUGCGCCGUCAUCUCAGCCCUGCAGUCCAACCCCAUCCAUCGCCUGCGCCUCGUCUGGGGGGAGAUCAGCCGCGAUGCGCAGCGCAGCUACGAGGAGCUCCGCGCGCUCUGCUCCGAGCAGGACAACUUCAGCGCCAGCCGCCGCCUGCUGCUCACGGUGGGGACGCGGCCCCGGCCCCAUGUCCCCAACCCGGCCCCAUGUCCCCAACCCCAUCCCUGCAUCCCCAACCCCGUCCCCAUGUCCCCAACCCGGCCCCGCGUCCCCAGCCCCAUCCCUGUAUCCCCAACCCCAUCCCUGCAUCCCCAACCCCGUCCCCAUGUCCCCACCCACGUCCCUUCAUCCCCCACCCUGUCCCUUGUCCCCCCCCCAUGUCCCCACCCCUUGUCCCCAUCUGUCCCCCCCUGUCCCCAGGACGCCCCCCAGGACCCCCCCAGCCGCCAGCCUCACAUCAGCCCGGAGCAGCGCCCCCCCGUGGUGA